ACGUUGCUCUAUUCCAGCUCCCAGAUGUUGCAGCGACCCCAUGGGGAUUUGCCUUUGUGAUGGCAAAGCGAGCUGGGCUUUUUGUAAUGGGAGGAAAUGCUGUGUGACUAUGGCUACAGCAACAAGCUGACAUUUGGCUCAGGAACCAGGCUGUCCGUCCAACCAAGUGAGUGAGGAGCUUUCCAUAGGUUUUCCAUAUGUGACUCGUGCUACAGAUGUUGUUCCAUUUCCAUCCUUUCACUACACCUUUGUCGAGCUAAAAUGCCUUCUCUCCCCUUGCAGGCUCUGAGAGUGCCCUGAGUGCAGUAUUUAAUGAGGUUUUGGGUGGCUGGAACAAAGCUCAUCUUGAGGUCUGCAUGUCCUCUGGAAAGGGUGACCUGUGUAUUGCUGUGAAGGGUCUUUGCCAGCCACACAAAGGGCUGUCUGGUUAUGGGGAAAUGAGAGCAUUUGUGUAAUGGCCUUUGUUGCUGUGAGUGCCGACUUGUACGGGCUCACCUUUGGAGCUGGAACAAAGCUUUGUGUAAAGCCUGGUGANUACUGUUACAGUUAUUAUUUAGCCUUGCAAGGCGAAGCUGAAAUAGCCCAGACAGUAAUGUUGGAGUGUAAGUUUUGGUCAGGCUUUCUAUUUGUGUUCACAAGCCUGUGCCUUCUCUCUGGGUAUUGCAGAGCUGUGAGGUGUUUUGGGAAGGAAAGGUGGCAGAGUAGAAGUUUUUCCCUGGAACAGAGGAAAAGCUAUUUACAAAGGCAUGUCAGGGGUGGUUUCUUUGUGGCCAUGGACAGUCCAUGCUGGGCCGGGCAGUUUCCCAAGGCAAUUCCUGGUGUUUUGAGGCAUGAGAAAACCCUUUGUGUAUAAUGCAGGAGCUGGAAAGAUGAGAUUCAGUGAUGGAAGGCCACUGACUGUAAAACACCGUGGGUACAAGCACUAAGCUCACACUAGCACUUUGUAGCAAAGGAGCCUGCCAGGAGGCUGCCUUCCCUUGGCUUUUUCUUUUUUUUAGCUUGCGUAGUAGCUGACCAAAUGCAUUUUUCACAGCUCUUGCAGAGCUGUUCAUGAACUGCCAUCUGAAUGUGUCUCAGUCUGCUGCAGUUCUCAAACCUCAUGCUUCUGCAGCUGCGGGGCUACCCGUGAUGUGCUAUCCCUCAGGACAGGCUUUGGCUCAGGACAGAAGCAGCAGUCCUGUCAUCUCACAGCUGCCUGUGAAACGCAUGGAUUGCCUGACAUGAUGGUUUUCCACAUGCUUUGUGCACAGAAACAGUGCUACACACAUGGUCCCCCGAUUCUGGGCAAGCGUUACUGUAGGUGUGAGUUGUCGCUCGUGGGGCUUAAUAAUUACAAAAUGCAGCAUGGAACACUCCUCUGAAAAGUGCAAGUGAGCUAGGGCAUGGAUUUUCCUUUCUUGCAGGUAGUGGCCCUGCGCUUGGGCCUGUUGUGUCAGGGAGCUCUGCCAUGGCCUGAGUUCAGGUGCUUUGUGCUUGAGAUCAUGUGCAGGGCUGGCAGACACUUUUGUAAUGAGACGUGCCACAGUGUGUACAACGUGGGAAAAGCAAUUUUUGGAAAAGGAACUGUGCUUUCAGUUGUACCAAGUAAGCAGCAAAUUGCGCUGAAAACCAAAGUGUCUUUUCCUUUGUCAUAGCAACCCAGCAUACAGCCCGGCAGUACUGUGAGGACAGGGGUAGAGAUAGUUUUGGGGUUGCCUCUUAGUUUUGGGCCCUAUUACAUCCCACAAAGCCAGACGCUUAACCUUCACUUGUGGCCUAGGAUCCUUCAGGCUCAGCCCACCCUUCUGUUGCCCCAGCUAGCCUUUGCACAGCUAUGCUCAACCUUGGGGCAAAGUGCCACUUCUCCAGGAGCU
rnacentral:lncRNA from 1 species